rnacentral:rRNA from 1 species
CAGGCCUAACACAUGCAAGUCGUGCGAGAAAGGGCUUCGGCCCCGGUAAAGCGGCGCACGGGUGAGUAACACGUAGGUAAUCUCCCCUCGAGUGGUGGAUAACUCUCCGAAAGGAGAACUAAUACAGCAUAAGACCACGACCUCGCUGAGGUUGCGGUCAAAGUAGGCCUCUACAUGUAAGCUUACGCUUGAGGAUGAGCCUGCGGCCCAUCAUGCUAGUUGGUAGGGUAACGGCCUACCAAGGCGAAGACGGGCAGCUGGUCUGAGAGGAUGAACAGCCACACUGGAACUGAGACACGGUCCAGACUCCUACGGGAGGCAGCAGUGGGGAAUCUUGCGCAAUGGGCGAAAGCCUGACGCAGCGACGCCGCGUGAGCGAUGAAGGCCUUCGGGUUGUAAAGCUCUGUGGGGAGGGAAGAAUAAGGGUGAACUAACACUUCAUCUGAUGACGGUACCUCCUUAGCAAGCACCGGCUAACUCUGUGCCAGCAGCCGCGGUAAU